UCCACCAAACUAAAAAGAAUUGCUUUUUCUCCCUUCAGAACCUUAAUUAGGACAAAUCCAUUACUGGUCUUACUGUUGAACUUUAUUAAUCAGAUGUGGAGAGCUUUGAUCUAGUUCUCCUGGUGGAUAUGUUUAUGGUUUCCUGGAAGAUUUAUCUGUCUGCAGGGUGAGUAAAAAUAGUGGGAUCAAGCAGUGGUAUGUAACUUUAAGAGCAACAGCCUUCAAUUCUACCUACCUCCCAUCCCCUCUCAAAAGUUGUAGAUUUACUAACUUAUAUUUAUUAGUUUAGGGUAACAGUCAGCAAAAGCUCAGGCAGGAUGAACAGUAAUGCUGUUUUGGACCAUGGAAAUAGCCCUGAACUGGAUGUCAGAUGGAUAUUCUAGCCUUGAUUUCAUCACCAAAUGUGAGACCACAGACAACUCAUUUAAUUUUCAUGACCCUCUGUGUUCUCAUCUGGAAAAUGGGAGGCUCUCAGACUUCAGACGCUAAUCCCAAGUAGAGUCACCGAGCCCGAAGACAUCCAUUGCUUAUGACAAACAGAAAGCUGAAUCACGCUCCUGCUGAAGCUCUAUAGAGAUUUGUUCUCUCAGAAAAAUACUUUUGUGGCCAGAUGCUUUAAGUUGCUGUGAUGCAGAUAUGGGUAAUAUACAAAAGGAUCCAUGAAUUUUCUCUGCAUUCCGUCUGUAACAUCCAGAGCUACAGUGGUGGCCGUGAACUGCUGAACCACUGUUCUCUCUUCUGUGAACUGAGGAGGCCUAGACUUUCACCCAGAGUCUUGUGAGUACGUAAGUGGGUUACAUAUGUGAAAAUACUUUCUGCACCUAAGGAGUUGUACACAUCUUGAAAGGCUGAAGGGACUGAGCACAAUGGGAGCAAGGCUUGUUCAUUCCAGCAUUUAGCAAUGUCAGUCCACCCCUUUAUAAUUACAUAUUCAUUUUCCACCAUGACAAGUUGAUUCCGGCUUCCAAGUUAACAGAAAAGUCAACAGGUUUUCCUUUUCUUCCUGUUUUCUCCUAUUACAUUCCCCUGGGCUUGGUUGGCACAUAUUUCAUGAUGAAAUUUUGAUCACGGUGGCAGUAAUACCAAGGUAGAAUCAUGGAAUCAAACAGCCUAGUGAACCUCACAUUUCCCAAGGAUUAGGGUCUCCUCUCUUUAGCAUGAAAAUAUUUUGAAAACCAUCUCACACUUUACUCCAAAAUAAAUGUCAAAGGCUUAGUGUAUUUGAUAUGAAAACAAGAAAAAAAGGAGAAAAAGUGCAAUAAACAAUAUAGUUGAAUAUUGAUUUAGCUUUGGGGGCGGAAAGGACAUUAUAAGCAUGAAGCCAAGGAUGUUAUUUAUAAAAACACCUGUGGCUAGAUAGAGCAGUAGAAAACUUUUGUUUAAAAACAAACUUAAAGAGAAUAAAGGCAGUUGAGGAAAAAGGAAAAAAAACUAUUUGUAACAAAAGCUAGUCAGUGACAAUAUCUUAAUAUGUAAAAAGACUCUUAGAAAACCAAUGAAAAGCAAGGCUGUUUGCCAAGGCAGAAAUAUAAAUGAGACCAAAAAAAAAAAAAAAAAAAA